CUCAUCGGAGCAAAUAGCCUGCCAGGCAAGAUACUCAGAAGGGGGAAAAGUGGUUAUAGGAAUUUUGGUGUUGCCUACAGUAGAACUAGCAUCUGUUCUCAGCCUCACAUGUGUUCAAAGGAUCUUCACAGGAGGAAAAAAAAAAUCAGUAUUAGUGACAUCCCAGGAAAUUCUAAGCAGCUAACAAUUACCUAUGAAAUUACAUACCUGGAGUUUUAAUGGUUCCCUGCAGCUCCAGCACCAUCAUAGGAGCAGAGAGCCUGGGCGGAGCUGAGUGGAGCUGAACUGUAACACUUUCACUGGCGAAAGCUUCCCCUAACAGAGAGGAGUUGUUACACUGGGAGAGACCUGAGCAGAACUGUAACAACUUGGCUGGGGAAACCCUCCCCUGCCAGAGCAGAGCUGUUACAUUGGGGAAACCUUUCCGUGGAGCAGGGCUGGGAGCUGCUAUGCUUACUGUGACCUGUGGUGUUCCUUGCCUCCCGAUUGCCAGAAUCCCUUUCCAUCCAAGCCGCUGUGCUUACACUCAGGACACCUCAAACUUCUGGAAAUCCUCCCCUAGCCUCCCAAAUACUGAGAUUGCAAAUGUAUGUAACUA